UACGUAGGGGGCUAGCGUUGUCCGGAAUCAUUGGGCGUAAAGAGCGCGUAGGCGGCCAGAUAAGUCCGGUGUGAAAGUCCAGGGCUCAACCCUGGAACGCCGGUGGAUACUGUCGGGCUAGAGUCCGGAAGAGGCGAGUGGAAUUCCUGGUGUAGCGGUGGAAUGCGCAGAUAUCAGGAGGAACACCGAUGGCGAAGGCAGCUCGCUGGGACGGUACUGACGCUGAGGCGCGAAAGCGUGGGGAGCGAACAGG
rnacentral:rRNA from 1 species